UCCCACAAAUAACAUGGAAUUGCUGUCUGCUCGUGUUCUCUGGUAGUGAUUUUUUACCAGGAUUCUGUACCUGGCAACAGUACUUCAGUCCAUCUCUGCAUGAAUCCAGUCCAGCUCUGAAUAUCUUGAACACUAAGCACACAGAAAGGUUACUUAGAUGUUUAAGAUUUCUCUUCACAAAGUAGAUGAUACAGAUGCUCAGGAAGAUUCAGUGAAAUGAUAGUGUAAUGAUAAAGAUUUGAUUGUGCUAGUCCACCAGUUUGUGAACUUUAAGGAAACUACUUCAGAAAUCACAUCUUGGGAUUUCUUCCCUACAGAUUAUUUUAAACUGUGCCAUAAGCGGGCGGAAGAGCUCCAGCAACAUGACUUUGUGUAAAGCACUUGUCUUCUGGGACAGCUUGAAGGCAUUUUCAUACUUCAGAGAUAUGUCCCCAAUGUACAGAUCCCUGCCAAGAACAUGGACAAAUCCUUCUACUACUGCCCUGCUGGCCACCUUGGAGUACAGAAAGCAAGCAACCAGCUUAUACAACUGCAAAAUCUACUUAAAAGAAGGGAUUAUCAUGUUCCUUCCUCUCUAGGGAAAGGGAGAAAGACUGACCAGGGAAACAUGACUGAUAGUAAAUGUUUUGGGGGUUUUUUUUAAAUAAUUAAAUAUCUUACAUUCCCAUAAUCACUGCAUUGUUUUAUGAUCUCACAGGUAACAUUCAGAAAUCAUGACUGAUAGGAAAUGGUAAAAAAUUAUCAAAUCUGUUCCAUUCCCAGAAUCACUGCACUUUUUUAUAACCUCACAGAUUGAUAACAUUCAGAAAUCAUGACUGAGAGUAAAUGAUAUAAAAAAAAUGCAGUCAUUCUGGGAAUGUUGAGAUUUAAUAAUUUUUUAAUCUCACAGAUACCAUUCAGAAAUCAUGACUGAUAGUAAAUGGGUUUUUUUAGAAAUGAUUAAAUCUGUUACAUUCCCAGAAUUUUUUAAUCUCACAGAAACAUUCAGAAAUCAUGACUGAUAGUAAGUGAUAAAACAUGAUUAAAUCUGUUCUUUCCUGUAAUUACUGCAUUUUUUUAUAAUCUCACAGAUGAUAUUCAGAAAUCAUGACCGAUAAUAAAUGGGGUUUUAAAAAAAAAUGUUUAAAUCCAUUACAUUCCUGUAAUCAAUGCAUUUUUUAUCCUCUCACAGGUAACAGUCAGUAUUCAUGACUAAUAGUAAAUGAUAAAACAUGGUUAAAUCUGUUCCAUUCCCAUAAUCACUACAUUUUUUCAUCAUUUCACAGGUAACAUUCAGAAAUCACGAUUAAUAGUAAAUAUUUUUUUUUAAAUUAUCUGUUACAUUCCCAUAAUCACUGCAUUUUUUUAUGAUCUCACAGAGACCAUUCAGAAAUCAUCACUGAUAGGAAGUAAUAAAAAACUAUUAAAUCUGUUACAUUCCCCUAAUCACUGCUUUUAUUUUCUGUAAUCUCACAGAUACCACUCAGAAAUCAUGACUGAUAGUAAAUGAUUUCUUUAAAAAAAGAUGAAAUCUUUUACAUUUCUGUAAUCCCUGUGUUUUUUUAAGACUACCUCCAUAUAUGUUUAAUCUAUGAAUAUUAAAUACAUUUUGCAGUAGUUUAAAAACAGUUCUGUUGAGACUUGCUGCAGUUUUUAAUACAAAUGUAGGUACCUAAUUUAGUGUCAUCUCUGUGUCAUGUUGAUGCUGCUCGAAGAGCCUCCGGCACUUUUCUGGAAAGGCACCUUCUUGGGUUUAAAAUGAGUAUAUUUGAGGUCAUUAGGAAAGGAAAUUUCCAGCACUAAUUCUGCCCUACCACAGGUUUUAACAGAAAGAACAAACCAAAGAACAAAAGGAAACCCAACAACUGUGUUUGAUGAAUCCAUGUGCAAUAUUUUUGUUACCAUGAAAUAAAACACCAGACACCUUGAA